UGUGCAGCCAAGUUUGCCAAUCGCCGGAGGGAAGGCAAAGUCACCUCUCCAUUGCCCCGUCGCUCCGUCACACCCGGUGCAAGGGAAAAGUAAAUGACUGGUUGGUUAUACUUGGUGAAAGGUGGCCAUGCAUUUAAAAAUCUUUCCGUCAAAGUGGCUACAGUGUAAACCUGCGGAGGUACUCGUGUGUGCACACAUCCCCGGGAGGGAUCCGCGUGCUGCCGGCAAACCCAUCCUGGUCCGCGCGAGGCUUCACCUACCCACUGUCCUUCCCAAUUCAAAUUUACCUGGACCAAUUCCAGGCCUUUGCGUUGGUCGGGAUGAUGGAGAAGUGACCUGGGGUCAAAAGAGGGCUGAACUCUUCCAGGAAUUCUGUAGCUGCUGGUCUGGACCAGGCAUUGGACGGGACGGAUGCUGAACUACGAGAUGGAGGGGAGGCCAAAGGACGGGGACGUUGUGAACGCCAGAACUUUUAUGUGUUGCGAGGGUUCAUUGUAUGCACCAACCUGACCCGGGCCAAGGGAUGCCCAGAGAGCUGGUAACACAUUUCUGGAUAUGCUGUGAGGGUGUGUGCAGAGGAAAUUAGCAUUUGCAUCAGUAGACUGAGUAAAGGACCCCUCAUCCAACCCACUGAGGGAUUAAGAACUUUAUUCACCUACUGUCAAGACUUGUAAAAGUGGUGAAAUGCCGUUUCAAAGUAGGCUGAAAAUAAACCGAGGAGGGAAAAGUACUAUUUCCUCCAAACUUUAUAUAGGUAUAAAGCAGAAAUAUUCAGAAGUUAGUGAGAAAGAGGAAGAGAGAGUGUGAAAAUGUGUGUGUCCAUGUGUAUGUUUGGGCAUUUACGUUUGAAUUAAAAUGGUGGAUCUGAAAAAGGCAAGAGUGUUGAAAAGUCAUUAGCAAGAGCAAACUGACCUUGAAACUGUAUAAUAUGAAAUAUUUGUGAUCCCCACAUUAACACCUUGUGCCUCUUCUAAGUAGUCUUGGGGCUUUAUCACCUAACCCCCAAUGCCCCCCGCCUUAAAGCCCUGCCUCUGAUUUUCAGUCACACUUAGGUUGUCAGUGACUGUGCAACCUAAGGAGUUACCCUUCUUUGGCGGUUGGCAUCACUAGGGACAGCAUCUUGAAGGCAGGUUGUAAGCACAGUUAUUAUGACUGAGGAAAGUACCAGAGUCAUUAAGAACUUAACUGUAAUUGCUCAAGUGACCUGCUCUCCUCAACAGGUAUAACGCAACAGGCACCUAGCGCUUAGAAACCCUCCAUGAAGAAGACAGGUUAUAUGUUGGUAACGACUGCAGUAUGUUCUCUUGAAAUCUUCUCAAUCUCCAACUUUUAAGUUUGGUUUUGAUUACUAAAAUUGGUCAAAAUUCAUUCAAAGUAAUGUCUAGUGUACGUGCAGAAAAAUGCCGAUUUUUAAAAAUGCAAUAAAUAGGGUAUUAAAACCAUGUAUUAUUGUUAAAUCUGAGCUGGUUUUUGUGCUUCAGCAACCUGCUCUUACAAGGAGGCGCUGGCCUCCCCACCCUGGACGUGAGGGAGGGGUCGGGUGCAGGCACUGGGACCACUGCCAUCUGUGCUCAGUGCUCACCCAGCGUCCUGCCAGUGUGACGUCCCACGUCUCUGGACAGAGGCUGCAGUGAGCACAGCUGAAGCCAAUGCUGCUUCUCCCACUGCCUCUAGAGUGCCUAACUUAACCACUGAGAGCUGCCGCAGCUUUUCCACCGACCGUUCCCACAGCCUAUUUGCUCCUGAGUCCUGCCUCAGGAAUCAAAUGAUGACUUCCCAUUGUGGACUCAAAGACCCUUUAUUAAUCUCCAGUCUACAGCUCCCUGCUCCAGGGAAGCAGGCUAACUGGUCAUUUCCAGUCCAAUAAUUCACUUUCUCUCUCCACAAUCCUCUAAACUUGUAGGCACAUUAGAAUCACGUAGGGGAAUUUAAAAAAAAAAAACAAACAUCCAGACCCCACCCCAGAUGAAGGAAAUCAUGCCGGGGUGGGCACUGGCACACCGUUUAUUCAGCUCCCUAGGUUAUUCCAAUAUACAGCCAAGAACAAAGCCAGGGAACGUCUUUCCCGUCUUCCUCACAUCCUGGUCUUAGCCCCUGAGGAAAUGAACACCUUACAUGGUCACUUACUGGCUAAUAAUAAAAUGACGGAUUUAAUUCUCUUGUUCAUUGUUUUUAUCCUGUUUACUCACUGAGGUCGGCUAGUAGACAUUGUUUUCCUUGUAUACUUUAAAACUAUAAACUCAAAGCCGAGAACUGGCUUGAUGUACAUAGCAUAUGUACAUCCUUAAUUUUGGAUUCUGCUUGUUUCACCUGAUCUCUCCAGUAAUGUGCCUGCCUCCCUAAUUUAUUAUAAUUCCUCGUAGAUAUAAAACUGGUUACCUUGCAUAUGUUGCUGGUAGAAGUCAACAUUCUAUGGGUCUACCUGGUAUUUUCUGCAUCCAACUUUGUUGUCAGUCUCUGCUCACACAUACGUCCAUUCGCCCACAGCUCCCCAAACUGCAAUCUCAGGCAGCUUCUCCCCAGCACAGGCAAGGAAACUGGAAGUGAAGAAACGACCACUGCCCAGUCUUGAAUGAAGAGAAGCACCAACAACAUCCAGGAGAUUGUUUAACUGGUCAACGAGUAAUUCUCCUGCCCCUACUACGUCAACCCUUUCUUCUUAGGCCUGUAAUGUUUCAAGGUACUUUAAGACCUUCCUUCAUUUGAGCCUCACAGCACCUACAUAAACUUGGCAAAGCGUGAAUUAUCCUUACAUUACAUGAGAAAGCAAAGCAAGGUUAAAACUCUGGCCUCCUGACUUCCUUUCCGGGACCUUUCUCAUUACGAUAUUCCUUAUCCUUAUAAAAGCAUUAAAAAUGCUAUACACAUUUUACAAUAUGUAGAAUUCACAGGGAAAAAUACUGAGUGACCCCAGCAUCCUAGAACCGCCAUUGUUAUUUUGGUGUGUUUUCCUACGCCUAAAAAAUGCAAUCAACUGCAUACUGUGUAUUUGAAACAAAAUUUUAUAGUUUCGCUAGAAGUUUGUUAGUUUGUGUGGCUUUGGAGUAAUUAUAAUAUGGUUAGAAUGAGACUCUUUAUUUUGUAAUGACGCUUACCUCUCCAAGGUGUCUAUUCUGUGUCGAAGCAAUCACUCAGUAGGGCAGAAUCUGGAGAGAAACUAGACAAGGAAAACAGGACCAGGAAGUAAAAUCUUAUGAUUUUAGAGUUGGAAGGGAUCCCAUAUCAUCUUGUUCCAUGUGCACACUAGAAUUAGGAAAAUGAGAUCUCCACAAAUUAAGUGGCUUGCUCCAUAUCAAAAGGGUAGAGAAAGUUAAGCUAGGACCAGAAUCGUUUUUCAUGCCUGCUCACGUGGUCUUCCCACUGUGCGAUUAUUCAUGGAGCAUCCAGGUCCCUAACCGCAUGUGGCACCAUG